UAGCGUAUAUUAAAGUUGCUGCAGUUAAAAAGCUCGUAGUUGGAUCUCAGGAGUGGGCUGGCAGUCCGCCGCGAGGCGAGCCAUUGCCUGUCCCGGACCCUGCCUCCUGGAGCCCCCCGGAUGCCCGAAGCUGGGUGUCCAGUCCCGGAGCGUUUACAUUGAAAAAAUCAGUGAGUUCAAAGCAGGCUGUGUAACGCCUGAAUACCACAGCUAGGAAUAAUGGAAUAGGACUCCGGUUCUAUUUUGUGGUUUUUCGGAACCGCGGCCAUGAUUGAGAGGGACGGCCGAGGGCAUUCGUAUUGCGCCGCUAGAGGUGAAAUUCUUGGACCGGCGCAAGACGGACGAAA
rnacentral:rRNA from 1 species